UUUUCGCAAUGCCCGAAAGGGUGACGAAGCGACGCCGCGUGGGUGAGGAAGGCCUUCGGGUUGUAAAGCCCUGUCAGGAGUUAAGAAAUGUAAGUGCGCUAAUAUCGCAUUUAUUUGACGAAGGCUCCAAAGGAAGCCACGGCUAACUCUGUGCCAGCAGCCGCGGUAAUACAGAGGUGGCAAGCGUUGUUCGGAAUUAUUGGGCGCAAAGAGCACGUAGGUGGGUUUGUAAGUCAGAUGUGAAAGCCUUCUGUUCAACGGAAGAAUUGCAUCUGAAACUGCGAGUCUUGAGUGUAGGAGGGGAGAAUGGAACUUCUGGUGGAGCGGUGAAAUGCGUAGAUAUCAGAAGGAACGCCGGCGGCGAAAGCGAUUCUCUGGCCUAUUACUGACACUCAGUGUGCGAAAGCUAGGGGAGCAAACGGGAUUAGAUACCCCGGUAGUCCUAGCCGUAAACGAUGGGCACUAAGUAGAGGGGUUUUA
rnacentral:rRNA from 1 species